rnacentral:rRNA from 2 species
GCAGUCGAACGAACUCUGGUAUUGAUUGGUGCUUGCAUCAUGAUUUACAUUUGAGUGAGUGGCGAACUGGUGAGUAACACGUGGGAAACCUGCCCAGAAGCGGGGGAUAACACCUGGAAACAGAUGCUAAUACCGCAUAACAACUUGGACCGCAUGGUCCGAGCUUGAAAGAUGGCUUCGGCUAUCACUUUUGGAUGGUCCCGCGGCGUAUUAGCUAGAUGGUGGGGUAACGGCUCACCAUGGCAAUGAUACGUAGCCGACCUGAGAGGGUAAUCGGCCACAUUGGGACUGAGACACGGCCCAAACUCCUACGGGAGGCAGCAGUAGGGAAUCUUCCACAAUGGACGAAAGUCUGAUGGAGCAACGCCGCGUGAGUGAAGAAGGGUUUCGGCUCGUAAAACUCUGUUGUUAAAGAAGAACAUAUCUGAGAGUAACUGUUCAGGUAUUGACGGUAUUUAACCAGAAAGCCACGGCUAACUACGUGCCAGCAGCCGCGGUAAUACGUAGGUGGCAAGCGUUGUCCGGAUUUAUUGGGCGUAAAGCGAGCGCAGGCGGUUUUUUAAGUCUGAUGUGAAAGCCUUCGGCUCAACCGAAGAAGUGCAUCGGAAACUGGGAAACUUGAGUGCAGAAGAGGACAGUGGAACUCCAUGUGUAGCGGUGAAAUGCGUAGAUAUAUGGAAGAACACCAGUGGCGAAGGCGGCUGUCUGGUCUGUAACUGACGCUGAGGCUCGAAAGUAUGGGUAGCAAACAGGAUUAGAUACCCUGGUAGUCCAUACCGUAAACGAUGAAUGCUAAGUGUUGGAGGGUUUCCGCCCUUCAGUGCUGCAGCUAACGCAUUAAGCAUUCCGCCUGGGGAGUACGGCCGCAAGGCUGAAACUCAAAGGAAUUGACGGGGGCCCGCACAAGCGGUGGAGCAUGUGGUUUAAUUCGAAGCUACGCGAAGAACCUUACCAGGUCUUGACAUACUAUGCAAAUCUAAGAGAUUAGACGUUCCCUUCGGGGACAUGGAUACAGGUGGUGCAUGGUUGUCGUCAGCUCGUGUCGUGAGAUGUUGGGUUAAGUCCCGCAACGAGCGCAACCCUUAUUAUCAGUUGCCAGCAUUAAGUUGGGCACUCUGGUGAGACUGCCGGUGACAAACCGGAGGAAGGUGGGGAUGACGUCAAAUCAUCAUGCCCCUUAUGACCUGGGCUACACACGUGCUACAAUGGAUGGUACAACGAGUUGCGAACUCGCGAGAGUAAGCUAAUCUCUUAAAGCCAUUCUCAGUUCGGAUUGUAGGCUGCAACUCGCCUACAUGAAGUCGGAAUCGCUAGUAAUCGCGGAUCAGCAUGCCGCGGUGAAUACGUUCCCGGGCCUUGUACACACCGCCCGUCACACCAUGAGAGUUUGUAACACCCAAAGUCGGUGGGGUAACCU